rnacentral:lncRNA from 12 species
UUACUCUAUCCUCUGCACAUAAGCAGCAUCUGCUUUGGGGUCUUGUCCUAAUUGAGUUGAACCUGUGUUGUUAUCAUUUGUUUGCUGUAGCCCCAAGAGGAGAGAAGGAGGGAGGGAGGGAGGGAUGGGGGACAGGGCUCUGCCCUUCCUUUGUCUCCAGCCUAGAAAGCUACAAUCAAGAGAGAGGGUGAUAGGGGCAAGGGGUCAGAGGUCAGCCACAGAGACGCUACCUAGACAUUUGGCUGGCUGGUUGACAUACAGUGAAGAGUAAUAAAAGAAUAUUUCUUGAGCACUUAUUAUGCACCAUACAUGAUUGUAAAUGCUUUAUAUGGAUCAACAGAUUUAAUCAUCACAACUCUGUAAGUUAGGUGUUCUUAUUUGUUCCUACUUGACAUUGAGGAAAAUGGAGGCACAAAGAGGUUAGGUAGAUACCCUCACAAUGCAACUAGAUGGAAGAGAAGUCAAGAUUGGGGUCUUGCCAUUCCUGCUGCUGCGUCCGUGCUCACAGCCAGUCUGCUGCUCCACUCCUCACCUCAGGGGCCCACUGCUGUCCUGGAAGAGCCCGGUGGUCAGAUGCCACGUUGGAGUUGCUGAGGAAUCCUCAAGCCUCCGUGUUGGUGAUCCCCUAGUUAUCUGCUGGGAGAGCCUGGAUGAGCAUCAGUAAGGAAGCAGCAGAAUGGCCUCCCACACUGGACAGGUCUGGAUGCUGAGGCCAACUGCAUGAUCUUGACCCUAGCUCUACUGUUUUUUGUCUCUGUGUCUCUCUCUGGGCAAGUUAUAUGCUUCCUUCUGCCUCAGUGUCUUCAUCUGUAAGAUGGGAAGAAUGGUAAGUGACCAUGUCGUGACAGCUACUGUGUGAACUACAUGAGUUAUACGUGAAGUGCUUAGAACGGUGGCUGGCACAUAUUUAGCGCCAUGUACGUUUUAGCGAUUCUUUCUACAGUACAGGUUUCACAAGUUCUGGAUGCUGCGGACAUUUAGUGAUAACCUACAAUUCUUUAUGGGGUCUGACAGAAAGAAGGUAACCAAGAGUUAGAUUUUUUAAAGAAGAUUUUAUUUAUUUAUUCAUGAGAGAUACAGGGAGAGAGAGGCAGAGACACAGGCAGAGGGAGAAGCAGGCUCCCUGUGGGGAGCCCGAUGCGGAACUCGAUCCCAGGACCCCAGGAUCAUACCCUGAGCCAAAGGCAGAUGCUCAACCACUGAGCCACCCAGGCGUCUUUCAAGAGUUAGAUUUGUGGCAAUAUCUCUAGCUUCCCGGUUCUCUAGAAUCUGCUGUUAUAGCUCUACUUAUAAUUGAUAGUAACAAAUAAUUAGUAAUGCUCUUAGUAUUACUUGUCAUAUCAUACUAUAUAUUAAUAAUAAGAAGAAAAUAAAAGUAAGCAUAGUAAUAGAUUACA